AGCUUGGGACAGAAAAGAAAUUCAGCAGCUGUGUCUCGACUCUAGCCACGAGGUAAGUCGAAACAAAUAUACUGUUUUGUAUGUUGUGUUGUUAUACCCUUCUAUGCUUCAGACUUACAUUGCUGUGACUGUUCCACAGUGGGUCAAAAAAGAGACGAGUACAGGUUUUAAGAAGAUAAUUGGCUGUUAAAACUCUGCACAAAAUAUGAGGUAAGUGAACUACUCUGUUGGUUUGUUUUGUGCUUUGUUAUGCUUAACUAUUUUUCAGAUUUUUUGUGACGUCAUACGACCGACUUUCCCAGUUGUAAUCUACAUGCAUAGGUCAUUGGGUUUAUAAUGUUCCAUUUUAUUUAUAUUUUCUCUCUGAUAGGCGUUUCUUGUUUGAUUUAAUUAUUUUUAAUUUGUUUAGCAGUCACAUAAACAACCAAGCUAUGUAAUAUGGAAUUUUUACACCCAUUAUUGCUGCUUCUUCCUGUAUUUGCGCGAUGAUUAUCUGAGAUAUUAACUCUAUGAUUCUACAUUCUCAAAUCUUUUCUAUAAAGAAGGAAUGUAGUUGACAAUUGUUAAUAGUUUUAUUUGAUCGUACGUCAAAAAGUUGUAAUUCUGUUACUCUUGUAUCUUCAAUGCAAUUGAGUAAUUAAAAAGUAAUUAAAUUGAAUGCGUUUAAUUCCCUUUUAUUAUUGUUUAAUUUGAGUUACAAUGCUAUGACGUUAAAUUUUAUUUACACUUAAAUGUAUUAUGAAUAUUGCUGGGCCAAGUGUGAGGUUGAGCGCUCUAUAACCAGGUUUAAACCCCCAAUGCUUUGCAUUGACCGUUCCAAGGCGGUGACCCCAGCUUUAUUCAUAUUUUGUGUUUAUGUUGGUUUGUAUUGUGCUGUAUUGUGCUGUUUUGUACUGUUUGGGCAAUCGGUCACUUGCCUUAAAUAAAGGACCAACUAAUUGUUUUUAAUGAAAAUUCAAUACUGCUCCAGCAGCUGGAGUUUCACUUCUUUAUAUUGAGUGGUGGGUCGUUACAGAGCAGACUUUUGGACAACUGAGAAGUUGAGAAACAGAGAAUAAUUCAAGAUCAGCUAGGUAAGUCUUGAUUAAUAUGCAAUGCUUAAUGCAUUUUUCAUUUCAGUAACCUGUGGUAAGUACACUAACUUUCUAUAAUUUCAUAUUGAACUGUUUUGAUGACUUGUAUACUGCUAUGCAAAAUGUCUGUUUUUCAUUUCAGUAGCUUGUUGUAAGUACACUAACUUUCUUUAAUUUUCUUAUUGAACUGUUUUGAUGACUUGUAUACUGUUAUGCAAUGCUUAAUGUAUUUUUCAUUUCAGUAUGGCUGUGGUAAGUACACUAACUUUCUAUAAUUUCAUAUUGAACGUUUUGUAACUUGUAUACUGUUAUGCAAUGCUUAAUGUUUUUUACAUUUCAGAGUGGCUGUGGUAAGUACAUUAACUUUCUUUAAUUUUCAUAUUGAACUGUUUUGAUGACUUGUAUACUGUUAUGCAAUGCUUAAUGUAUUUUUCAUUUCAGUAUGGCUGUGGUAAGUACACUAACUUUCUAUAAUUUUAUAUUGAACGUUUUGUAACUUGUAUACUGUUAUGCAAUGCUUAAUUUUUUCUUAACUUCAGUGUGGCUGUGGUAAGUACACUAACUUUCUUUCAUUUUCAUAUUGAACUGUUUUGAUGACUUUUGUUCUGCUAUGCUCUUUUCCAUUUCAGCUGGGCCAGAUGUAAGUACACUUCAUUCAUGUAAAAACUUAAUAUGAUUGUUGUGCUAUACAAAAUGUGUUUUUUUUCAAGUUCAGGUCAGCGCUGGUAAGUAGAUUGUGUUUCUUUAUGUAUAAUUCUGUAUACAUAUUGUUUUUUUCAUCAUAUCAUGUCUUUUAUAUUUAGGCUUUGUGUUAGUAAAAACAGAUGUUAAAAAAUCAUUCUAAAACAUGAUACUUAAAAUGUAUUGUGCUAUGCAAAAUGUCUGUAUGAUUUCAGUUUCCAGAGGUGAGUACCAAUACAGCUGAAAAGUUGGUUUAGUUAAUGUUUUGGUUCACAGUUCUGUUUGUUAUUUGGCAAAAUUUACAUGUAUGCAUUGAGUCUUGAUUUCAGCUCGAGUUUGGACUGAAGAAGAUUGCCAGCAGAAGGAUUGGAUACAAAAUACAAAGUAAGUACUGAGUUUCUUACUAAAAGUUUUGAGUUGUAUUCAUUGUGUGUUAAUAUGCUAUGAUUGCUAUUAAUAUGACUUUUGUAUUUCAGCGAAGACAACAUAGGUAAGUAGAAUUGCUCGCUGUUUCAAGUUAACUGUUAUAGUUCAACAUUUGGUUCACAAAUUUUAAGUUGUACAAACAAAUUUAAAAGUUUCUUAUCAUGCUUUCGAUUUCAAUUCAGCUUUACUGUUAGACGAGUGUUCUCUACUACUAGACGAGUCAGGUUUACUACCAGGCGAGCAGUGACAACAAGGCGCCUUUGUGGAAACAACAAAACAAACAACUCUACUGCUAGACGAGCAGUGACAGCAAGGCGCCUGAAUAGACAACACAACACAAAAAAUGCCAAUUUGCAAACCUUGAUGUGGACACCGAGUAGUCAAUACAUACGUGUGGCGUACAGCUGCGACAAAACCGUGGGUUCAUCGCACCGAUAACUCCAACAUUGUCCCGUGUAUGGAAAUCAGUGCAACUUUGUGAAUCCAUGUAACUUUGUAAAUCCAUGUAACUUUGCGAAUGUGUGUCGAUCGAAAAAUGUGAAACGAACUCGGUGUUGCAAGUGGCAAGUGUUGACAGUGUGCAUGUUUAUGUUUAUGUUUUUACAUGAAAAAUAAAGGAGAUUGUUUUAUUGUG